CAACACACUUUACAGACGAUCUUUAUAAAUCUAACAUACAUGUAUAAGACUUACUUAUAUUCCCCUGUAUAAGAUCAUCUAGACUUAUCACUGAUACGAAUAGUAUUAUUGUUCUAUUAAUGUACAUGUAGCCUUUUAGGUAAACGCAUAGGCGGAUCCAGGGGGGGGGGGGGGGGGGGGCCCAGGCCCCCCCCUUUCGUUGGAAAAAUUUGGUUGAUUAUAUAGGGAAUCAUUGAAGCAUGACUGGGGCGGGCCCCCCUUAGGAAAAGUUCUGGAUCCGCCACUGAAACGGACAGAAAGUCACAGGACAUAAACGUCACAAAUUUGAAAGGACAUAAAGUCACAAAUUUGAAAGGACAAAAAGUCACAAAUAUUUGACAUUUUGUUUUUUUAACAAUUAUUUGAUCAUCUUUGAUAUUUUUGAUAAAUUUUGUUUACAAAGAUGGUUUAUUUGCACUAGUUCAAGAAAAAUACAAAAAUGUAUUUGUAAAAAUAAGCAUUAAAUUCUUUAUAAUUCAAAGAAAAUAAUCAGAAAAAAUUAAUUGUAACUUUUUGUCCUGUGACUUUCUGUCCUGUGACUUUUUGUCCUGUGACUUUCUGUCCUGUGACAUUUUGUCCGUGACUUUUCUGUCCUGUGACUCUCUGUCUUACAUUCUACAUGUAUACCAGUAUGCAUACAAAUAUUUUAUUGCUGGCAUCUUGGAGGGUAGUAAUGCCCUCUACCAUAAGGCUUCAAACGACGUCACGCUUAUGUCAGGCCUAACAAUGCUUUCAGGCAUUGUCAAUCUCGUAAUAAAAAUAGUUUUUGUCUUUUAACUCAUUUCCCCCUGUAAGCCAAUAAAUAUAUAGGUUUUCAGAAACCUGAUGUUUAGUGGUUGUCGUUUGUUGAUGUAGUUCGUUAAUGUUUUUCUUUAGCAUUAGUCAUUUUUUGGGGGCCCCUGGGGCCCUUUAUAUCUUGCUGUUUGGUGGGAGCCAAGGCUCUGUGUUGAAGACCUUACUUUGACCUAUUAUGGUUUACUUUUACACAUUGUGACUUGAAUGGAGAGUUAACUUGUCUUUUUGACACUCAUACCACAUCUUCUAGUAUCUAUUUAUGAUAUGAUCUUGCUUUAUGAUGAUAUUUAGCCUUUAUAUAGUUCACUAGUUUAGUAGCAAAAAGGUUGUUUGAACAUAUGAAUAAUAAAUUGGAUUUUGUUAGACUGUAAUAUUUUCUAUCCUCUAUUUAGGGAUCUUGAAUGUGAAUGCUGUUUAUGACUGUAAUGAUGUCAGUAAGGAAAUUAUGUAGACACCAAGUCAAAAAAGUAAUGCACAGGACCUGUAUGUCACAGACCAAUGGAAAGUCAGAUGGCUUGCUUGAUUAUUAUAUAAAAUUGCGAGACAUACUUACAAACAAGGACACUCUGGUUAAUCAUUUGUGUCAAAAUGUUGUAUUUGAGGAUGGUAAGUUAUCUUAGUAAUUAUUCAAACAAGUGUAUUUGUUGAUGAAGUAUACAUGUAAGAUGUAGUUUAGUGCAAUGUUUUUUUAUUUUAAAUUUCCUU
rnacentral:lncRNA from 1 species